rnacentral:rRNA from 1 species
AAGCCAUCUCAGUUCGGAUUGUAGUCUGNAACCCGACUACAUGAAGCUGGAAUCGCUAGUAAUCGCAGAUCAGAAUGCUGCGGUGAAUACGUUCCCGGGUCUUGUACACACCGCCCGUCAAGCCAUGGGAGCCGGGGGCGCCUGAAGUCCGGGACCGCGAGGACCGGCCUAAGGCGAAACUGGUGACUGGGGCUAAGUCGUAACAAGGUACC